rnacentral:sRNA from 1 species
GCUGGUGUGGUGGCUCAUGCCUGUCAUGCCAACAUUUUUGGGAGGCUGAGGCAGGAGGAUCGCUUGAGCCCAGGAGUUCAGGACUAGCCUUGGCCAACAUAGUGAGAUUGUGUGUCUAUAAACAAUUUAAAAACUAGCUGGGUGUGGUGGUGCAUGCCUGUAGUCCCAGCUACUCAAAGGGCUGGGGCAGGAGGAUGGCUUGAGCCUGGAAGGUCGAGGUUGCAGUGAGCCAGGACUAUACCACUAUACUCCAGCCUGGGCAACAUAGUGAGACCCUGUCUCU